rnacentral:sRNA from 3 species
UCUGCCCAAGCGGGGAAGGAUGAGAAGCUUCGACCAAGGUUCGACUUGAGCGCCAGCGAGAGAGCGUUGCCGCAGGCAACGACCCGAAGGGCGAAGCGCGCAGCGCUGAGUAAUCCUUCCCCCACCACCA